rnacentral:rRNA from 1 species
AACGUAGGGUGCAAGCGUUGUCCGGAUUUAUUGGGUUUAAAGGGUGCGUAGGUGGCUUUUUAAGUCAUGGGUGAAAGCCCGCAGCUCAACUGUGGAAUUGCCUGUGAUACUGAGGAGCUUGAGUGCGGUUGAGGCAGUUGGAAUUGGUGGUGUAGCGGUGAAAUGCAUAGAUACCACCAGGAACACCGAUUGCGUAGGCAGGUUGCUAAGCCGUAACUGACACUGAGGCACGAAAGCGUGGGGAGCAAACAGG